rnacentral:rRNA from 1 species
GACGAACGCUGGCGGCGUGCUUAACACAUGCAAGUCAAGGGGAAUAGGGUAGCAAUAUCCUUAGUACACUGGCGCACGGGUGAGUAAAAUAUAAGUAACCUACCUCUAGAUAUGGGAUAACACUUCGAAAGAAAUGCUAAUACCGUAUAAUGCAGCGGCACCACAUGGUGAUGUUGUUAAAGUCGUAGUAGACGUCUAGAGAUGGGCUUGUAACUGAUUAGCUAGUUGGCGGGGUAACAGCCCACCAAGGCUACGAUCAGUAGCUGGUCUGAGAGGAUGAUCAGCCACACUGGAACUGAGACACGGUCCAGACUCCUACGGGAGGCAGCAGUGAGGAAUAUUGGGCAAUGCCCGAAAGGGUGACCCAGCAACGCCGCGUGAAGGAUGGAGGCCGUAAGGUUGUAAACUUCUUUUGUAUGGGACGAAAAGCUUGUUGAUAGCAAGCAUUGACGGUACCUUAAGAAAAGCCCCGGACUAACUACGUGCCAGCAGCCGCGGU